GACGAACGCUGGCGGCGUGCCUAAUACAUGCAAGUAGAACGCAGUUGCGAACGGGAGAGUAACGCGUAGGUAACUGCAUGGUAGCGGGGGAUAACUAAUGGCAACGAUAGCUAAUACCGCAUACUACCAGAUGGACCUGCUUUGUAUUAGCUAGUUGGUGAGGUAACGGCGCACCAAGGCAACGUUACAUAGCCGACCUGGGGGGGUGAUAGGCAACGCUGGAACUGAGGCACGGCCCGGAGUCCUACGGGGGGCAGCGGUAGGGAAUCUUCGGCAAUGGGGGUAACCCGGACCGGGCGACGCCGCGUGAGUGAAGAAGGUUUUCGGAACGUAGAGCUCUGUUGUGAAGGAAGCGGUACUUAACCAGAAAGGGACGGCUAACGACGUGCCAGCAGCCGCGGUAAUAC
rnacentral:rRNA from 1 species